UACGAAGGGGGCUAGCGUUGCUCGGAAUCACUGGGCGUAAAGCGCACGUAGGCGGCUUCUUAAGUCAGGGGUGAAAUCCUGGAGCUCAACUCCAGAACUGCCUUUGAUACUGGGAGGCUCGAGUCCGGAAGAGGUGGAGGUGGAACUGCGAGUGUAGAGGUGAAAUUCGUAGAUAUUCGCAAGAACACCAGUGGCGAAGGCGGCUCACUGGUCCGGUACUGACGCUGAGGUGCGAAAGCGUGGGGAGCAAACAGGG
rnacentral:rRNA from 1 species